GGUCCUCACACCAACACCACCACCUAAAGUACUCUGUUCUCUUCCCUAGACCAGCCAUCCAGAGAAGGAGAGAGACUGAUCAUCCUUUGAGCCAAAUCAGAAGUCUACAACUAAGAAUGAAGAGAGGUCCAUGAUGCUAUAUAUGAAAGAGUAACAAGCCUUGUGGAUGGGGGAAAGUGAUACAUGUGGUAUAUCUUGGCUUCAGUAAGGUUUCUGAUACUGUCUCAUGUGACCUUCUCAUAAACAAACUAGAGAAAUACAGCCUUGAUGGAGAGAUUAUAAGAUGGUGGCAUGAAGCUUGUUUAAAUUCCCUGAAAUAUGCCACAAUAUGAUUCUGCUCCCAGGAGGAAGGAUGGCAUCCCCCACCAGCUGCUUCACUGGAAUGCUGGAGAGUCAGCUCAUUAGGGAGCCAAGUGACCAGAUGGUUAUGUACAACAUACCCCAACAAUGCCUGAAGUCAUGAAAAUCACUAUGGACCACGUACAGCCAUUUCAUGUCUCUGGCCAGGGAAUGACAAUGUGUCUGGACCUCAUCCACCAUUCCUAACAAGCACAUUAUCACUGAUCCAAAAAGCCACGUUCCCAGUAUUGAUCUGCUACACAGACUUUGGAACACACUGAACCCUAUCAGAACAAACCAUGGAAGAUUCGUCUACUUGAUGCACAAGUGGAGUAUCAAAGACUCCCCUUUGGGCGACUACCAUGAGAACAUCAUAACACAGUAUCCCAACUAUGUAUUCAAAAGUGAAAUGGGUGAUAUCCACAACAAUGAGGCUGCCUUGAAAUGGCUUAUGGACUUACAAGCAUCUAUUGAAUGUUGUUCAGUAGACACCAUGUGCACUGAGAGAGAUUUAAAUAAAAAACAAAAAACCCUACAUUUUGUUCAGCUGAUUCUACUCACAACACUUAUAUUCACCUCUUUCUGAAAGAGGUAGUCAAAUGAAGUAUAGCUUUUCGGUGCCUAACAAACAGAGGAAUCAUAUUAAAAAG